rnacentral:rRNA from 1 species
UUUAAAAACGGGGGCGGGAAGCGGCAACAGCUCAAAUUUGAAAUCUGGCUCUCGGGCCCGAGUUGUAAUUUGUAGAGGAUACUUUUGAUGCGGUGCCUUCCGAGUUCCCUGGAACGGGACGCCAUAGAGGGUGAGAGCCCCGUCUGGUUGGAUGCCAAAUCUCUGUAAAGUUCCUUCGACGAGUCGAGUAGUUUGGGAAUGCUGCUCUAAAUGGGAGGUAUAUGUCUUCUAAAGCUAAAUACCGGCCAGAGACCGAUAGCGCACAAGUAGAGUGAUCGAAAGAUGAAAAGCACUUUGAAAAGAGAGUUAAAAAGUACGUGAAAUUGUUGAAAGGGAAGCGUUUAUGACCAGACUUGGGCUUGGUUAAUCAUCUGGGGUUCUCCCCAGUGCACUUUUCCAGUCCAGGCCAGCAUCAGUUUUCCCCGGGGGAUAAAGACUUCGGGAAUGUGGCUCUCUUCGGGGAGUGUUAUAGCCCGUUGUGUAAUACCCUGGGGGGGACUGAGGUUCGCGCAUCUGCAAGGAUGCUGGCGUAAUGGUCAUCAACGACCCGUCUUGAACCGGCCCCCAGGGGGAAAAAAAA